AAAUUCAGAUGAAAAAAAAAGAAUGUAAACUAAAUUAUUUUUGUGAAAUUUUUUCAACACCAAAAUUUGUGUCUAAUCCUAAACACUAACUAAUGAUGCACACAGAAGGGGAAUUAUAGAGGGAAGAAGAAUUUACUCUGGUAAUGUGUUUGAUGGUGUUAAAAAUGAUGUUAAGACGAAACUAUUGUUGUAAACAGUGAUGGGUGCCAAGAUUUACUGGUGAUUGAAAAAAUA